AAAAUGUCUUUGGUCUUAGUAAUGCUCGUUAUUGAUUUGAACACGUGGGUGCGUGGCACGUUAUUUUAACUCCGGGACUGCGAUCACCGCAACAUCCAAGGAUGAAUCUCUUUGACUUCCUUCUCGUCUCAUCCGUCCUAGUGACAACUCUGUCGCUGGAUCUGAAGAUCAAUGAUCUUCCAGAAGAACCCCCGGAGGAGGUCCUUGUCACGGAGUGGGUGUACCUGGAUGUGAAGAUCGACAAUUACUACGACGAAAAGACGCCCUAUGAGGGACGAAUGAUCAUUGGGGUUUUCGGGGACAUAGCUCCAAUGACGGUCCUUAACUUCGUCACACUCGCAAAGGGUUACAGGAAGGGAAAAGUAUAGUCUUUUUUCUGUUUAACAGAAUGUGCACUCCAAAACAUCAGGCACGGCGGAGCAGAUGGGGGGGGGGGGGGGUAAAUCUUAUUGGUAGUAAAUCUUAAGGCAGAGAUGAAUUUUAUUUGUAGAAUGCAGGAAAUUGCAUUUCAGGACAUCUAGUUUUUAAAAUUUUACGAGAAAGUAUACCCCCGAAGCCCCUUAAAACUUUGCUUUGCGUCCUCGAUCUCAGCCAGCUCCCCCCCCCCCCCCCACCCCUCCUCCCAGUGUCUACUUGCUUCCGCUGUGCCUGCACAUUGUUUAAUCAGUGUUUCUAGGGUGUUGAAUAUAUCUUUCCAUCGGUUUUACUAUCAAAUUUUAAUAACUCCUCAAUACCUUUCAUAUAUUUUAUGUGUUUUGUGUCAAAUUCUAAUAAAGGUUUGUUUUGUUUAACGACACCUGUGGAGCACGCUGUUUACUUAUCAAUGUGUUCUAGUGUUGUCGUUAAACAAAACAAACUUACAAACUGUUUACAUAAUUAUCAGCUACGGGAUGUCAAAGCUUUUGUUACAUUCUGACAAGUAGUCUUUAAAGAACAAAACAUUU